rnacentral:rRNA from 3 species
UUGGACCUGAUAUCAGGCAAGAUUACCCGCU